rnacentral:lncRNA from 1 species
CUGAUAGGAGGUGAGGGUGUCAUUGACUUUGUGUGUUCCAUGAAUUUCCUCAGUGGCCGCCAUUGUGACACACAUGCCAGAGGUGUUAUCUACUCUGGAACAAGAGCAGCUAGAACAGGCUAAGGCGGCUACAGGGUCACGUUCAAGGCAGCUGCGUUACCCCAGGGCAAGGGCACCAAGGACCAAGUCCCAGCCAAGUAGUUGGGGGAAGACUGCGGGGAAGGAGAAGCCAGGGGAAUCAGUCAGCAUCUAGCUGGUGACCUGUCCAUCAAGAAGACAAAGUCCCCUUAAUUUCCAGUUCAAAGAUGGAUCAUCACACUGAUGUUCAGUUUUAUUGAAAUGAGCCUAUUCCUCACAGGGGCAUGCAAUAAGACACCCCUGUGGAAAGAGCAUUAGAAGAAAUGAGCAAGGGCUCAACGAAGAUGGGAACGGAAAGAGCACAGGCCUUGUUGAACAGCAACCUCUGCAUCCUGAGAACCCAGAACAACCUUCACUCUUCCGGCCCCCGCCUCACCUGUCUGAUUUGCGCUGAUCCCCUGAACUUCGUUCACUGCCAGAGCGUCUGGUGCAGCGAGUCUUACACAGACUGUGGGUGGGAGGUGAGACCUCGCCGAGCCAAUCCCCUGUCAUCCCAGCCUUCCUCUGCCGGCCCACCUGCAGCUGCCACAGCCACACAGGCCAGGGUCAGCUGUUGCUUCCGCCGGAACAAGAAGGGGCAGAGGCAGCCACGGUUUCAGGUGCCUGGCGUGGUGGGUCUCUGGGAGCAGCAGCUGGGCAGACUCCCCUGGGGUCGUUCCCUUUCCCGGCACUCGCCCGCUGUGCAGCACUGACUUCUCUUCACUGGUUAAGGCUCAGUGUCCCUCACCUGUAAAAGUCCCCCUCAGAGGCUUGUUGCAAAGAUUAAAUGAGAAAAUCAAGGCG